CGGUUAAACCUAGCCCACUGUGUCCGGGAUAACUGCUGGAAACGGUAGCUAAAACCGGAAUAGGUAUACGGAGCGCAUGCUCUGUAUAUUAAAGCGCCCAUCAAGGCGUGAACAUGGAUGGACCUGCGGCGCAUUAGCUAGUUGGUGAGGUAACGGCCCACCAAGGCGAUGAUGCGUAGCCGGUCUGAGAGGAUGAACGGCCACACUGGAACUGAGACACGGUCCAG
rnacentral:rRNA from 1 species